GUGCUCGCUUCAGCAGCACAUAUGCUAAAAUUGGAAUGAUACAGAGAAGAUUAGCAUAGCACCUGCUCAAGGAUGACAAGCAAACUCAUGAAGUGUUCCAUAUUUUU